rnacentral:rRNA from 1 species
GACGAACGCUGGCGGCGUGCCUAAUACAUGCAAGUAGAACGCUGAAGGAAGGAGCUUGCUCUUUCCGGAUGAGUUGCGAACGGGUGAGUAACGCGUAGGUAACCUGCCUGGUAGCGGGGGAUAACUAUUGGAAACGAUAGCUAAUACCGCAUAACAGUAGAUAUCGCAUGAUAGCUGCUUGAAAGGUGCAAAUGCACCACUACCAGAUGGACCUGCGUUGUAUUAGCUAGUUGGUGAGGUAACGGCUCACCAAGGCAACGAUACAUAGCCGACCUGAGAGGGUGAUCGGCCACACUGGGACUGAGACACGGCCCAGACUCCUACGGGAGGCAGCAGUAGGGAGUCUUCGGCAAUGGACGGAAGUCUGACCGAGCAACGCCGCGUGAGUGAAGAAGGUUUUCGGAUCGUAAAGCUCUGUUGUAAGAGAAGAACGAGUGUGAGAGUGGAAAGUUCACA